GACGAACGCUGGCGGCGUGCUUAACACAUGCAAGUCGAACGGAGCGAAUGAAAGCUUGCUUUUAUAAGCUUAGUGGCAAACGGGUGAGUAACACGUAGACAACCUGCCGACAGGAUGGGGACAACAUUCCGAAAGGAAUGCUAAUACCGAAUGAAGUCGAGGGAAGGCAUCUUCCUUCGAUGAAAGAUGGCCUCUAUAUAUAAGCUAUCACCUGUUGAUGGGUCUGCGUCUGAUUAGCUGGUAGGUGAGGUAACGGCUCACCUAGGCGACGAUCAGUAGCCGGUCUGAGAGGAUGAACGGCCACAUUGGGACUGAGACACGGCCCAGACUCCUACGGGAGGCAGCAGUGGGGAAUCUUCCGCAAUGGGCGCAAGCCUGACGGAGCAACGCCGCGUGAGUGAAGAAGGUCUUCGGAUCGUAAAGCUCUGUUGAUGGGGACGAACGUGCCUAAUGCGAAUAGUUUUAGGUA
rnacentral:rRNA from 1 species